rnacentral:rRNA from 1 species
AGUGAACGCUGGCGGUAGGCCUAACACAUGCAAGUCGAACGGCAGCACAGUAAGAGCUUGCUCUUACGGGUGGCGAGUGGCGGACGGGUGAGGAAUACAUCGGAAUCUACUUUUUCGUGGGGGAUAACGUAGGGAAACUUACGCUAAUACCGCAUACGACCUACGGGUGAAAGCAGGGGAUCUUCGGACCUUGCGCGAUUGAAUGAGCCGAUGUCGGAUUAGCUAGUUGGCGGGGUAAAGGCCCACCAAGGCGACGAUCCGUAGCUGGUCUGAGAGGAUGAUCAGCCACACUGGAACUGAGACACGGUCCAGACUCCUACGGGAGGCAGCAGUGGGGAAUAUUGGACAAUGGGCGCAAGCCUGAUCCAGCCAUACCGCGUGGGUGAAGAAGGCCUUCGGGUUGUAAAGCCCUUUUGCUGGGAAAGAAAAGCGGCAGGUUAAUACCCCGCUGUUCUGACGGUACCCAAAGAAUAAGCACCGGCUAACUUCGUG